CGUGUGUGGUAAAGCCUGCUCCUUCAAAGAAACACAAAUAUAUCACAUUUGCUCGUCUUUCAGAGAAAAAAACCUCAAGAAUAUAGGUUUCUUCAUUUACUAAGAAAAAGAUUUUCAAUAUCUUUAUUAUAGUACACAUUAUAAUGAAGCAAUUUUGUCUGGAUAAAGCCAAAGCUUUUCAUUAUUAAUCAGAUUAUUAAUGAAAUAUAAAGGCUCAAAGAAUGAAAAAUUAUUAAUCGGAUAAUGCUAUUGUAUUCAAUUUUUUUAGGCUGAUUCAACCGAUAUAAUAAUUUUU
rnacentral:misc_RNA from 1 species